UGCCGCGUGAUGUAAUCGGCAGCAUCGCUGACUCUGAUUCAGUGGGUCUAGGUUCGAGUCCUGGCGCGGCAUCCA
rnacentral:tRNA from 1 species